CGGUAACAGGUCUUCGGAUGCUGACGAGUGGCGAACGGGUGAGUAAUAUAUCGGAACGUAUCCAUUUGUGGGGGAUAGCCCGGCGAAAGCCGGAUUAAUACCGCAUAAUCUCUGAGGAGGAAAGUGGGGGACCUUCGGGCCUUACGCUGAUGGAGCGGCUGAUGUCGGAUUAGCUAGUUGGUAGGGUAAAGGCCUACCAAGCCGACGAUCAGUAGCUGGUCUGAGAGGAUGAUCAGUCACACUGGAACUGAGACACGGUCCAGACUCC
rnacentral:rRNA from 1 species